rnacentral:rRNA from 1 species
CGUACACUCCUACGGGAGGCAGCAGUGGGGAAUUUUGGACAAUGGGCGAAAGCCUGAUCCAGCCAUGCCGCGUGCAGGAUGAAGGCCUUCGGGUUGUAAACUGCUUUUGUACGGAACGAAACGGCCUUUUCUAAUAAAGAGGGCUAAUGACGGUACCGUAAGAAUAAGCACCGGCUAACUACGUGCCAGCAGCCGCGGUAAUACGUAGGGUGCAAGCGUUAAUCGGAAUUACUGGGCGUAAAGCGUGCGCAGGCGGUUAUGUAAGACAGUUGUGAAAUCCCCGGGCUCAACCUGGGAACUGCAUCUGUGACUGCAUAGCUAGAGUACGGUAGAGGGGGAUGGAAUUCCGCGUGUAGCAGUGAAAUGCGUAGAUAUGCGGAGGAACACCGAUGGCGAAGGCAAUCCCCUGGACCUGUACUGACGCUCAUGCACGAAAGCGUGGGGAGCAAACAGGAUUAGAUACCCCGGUAGUCCCAUGA